rnacentral:misc_RNA from 1 species
UUUGCCCAGUCUGUAAGACUGAACCAGUGUCUCGAGGAUAGAGCUUGGUAUUCUUCAUUAUCUUCCACAUGGUGUAUAGAUUUUACCAUUAUACAUAAUCAUGAAUUCAUUCAUUGGUGUGAAGCUUCAAAUUACCUUGUUGAAAUGAUACCCAUUUUCUGAGUAAUUUAGCAGUUAAUACGUUGAAAUUACAGUACUGGAAUUU